CCGGUUUGAACUCAGAUCAUGUAAAAUUUUAAAGGUCGAACAGACCUAAAUUUCUAGCUGCUACACCAGAACUUAAUUUUAAUCCAACAUCGAGGUCGCAAACUUCUUUUUCGAUUAGUACUCUUUAAAGAAAUUACGCUGUUAUCCCUAAGGUAAUUUAAUCUUAUAAUCAUAAUAAUGGAUCAAAAAAUCAUAAAUUAAUGUUUUAAUAAAAAAAAAGUUUAUUAAAUUUUCCUAUCACCCCAAUAAAAUAUAAAUAAAUAAAAUAAAAAUAUUAUUCAAAAAAUUUAAAUUAAAUAGUUAUAUAAAAUUCUAUAGGGUCUUCUCGUCUUUUAAAUAAAUUUAAGCUUUUUUACUUAAAAAUAAAAUUUUAAUUAAUUUAAAUAGAGACAGUUAUUUUCUCGUCCAACCAUUCAUUCCAGCUUUCAAUUAAAAAACUAAUUAUUAUGCUACCUUUGUACGGUCAAAAUACCGCAGCCAUUUAAAACUUCAUAGGGCAGGUUAGACUUUAUAUUAUUAUCAAAAAGACAUGUUUUUGAUAAACAGGCG
rnacentral:rRNA from 1 species